GACGAACGCUGGCGGCGUGCUUAACACAUGCAAGUCGAACGGAAAGGCCUUGUUCUUAUGGGGUGCUCGAGUGGCGAACAGGUGAGUAUCACGUGAGUAACCUGCCCCUUACUUUGGGAUAACUUCUGGAAACUGGGGCUCAUACCCGAUAUGAGCUCCUGCUGCAUGGUGGGGGUUGGAAAGUUUCGGCGGUUGGGGAUGGACUCGCGGCUUAUCAGCUUGUUGGUGGGGUAGUGGCUUACCAAGGCUUUGACGGGUAGCCGGCCUGAGAGGGUGACCGGCCACAUUGGGACUGAGAUACGGCCCAGACUCCUACGGGGGGCAGCAGUGGAGAAUAUUGCGCAAUGGGCGGAAGCCUGAUGCAGCAACGCCGCGUGCGGGAUGACGGCCUUCGGGUUGUAAACCGGUUUCGACUGUGACGAAGAGUGAGUGACGGUAAUGGGUAAAGAAGCACCGGCUAACUACGUG
rnacentral:rRNA from 1 species